GUAGGUGAACCUGCGGAAGGAUCAUUAACACGUUACACACGUUAUUAUAAAUAUAUACCAACCGUGAACAAAAUCGAACAUGGCUAGCUCUAUUAGGGCUGCAAAUACUCUUAGAAGUCUGCUGCCGCCUCGUACCAGUCCCUCCUUCCUCCUGUUGGUGAGAGGACUACUUGGUGGCUGUCUGAGCGGGUUAGCCAUGCGUGUUGUCGUUAUUAUUAACGACUUGUAUUCAACAACUCUGAACUUAUCU
rnacentral:misc_RNA from 1 species